AACGAACGCUGGCGGCAUGCCUAACACAUGCAAGUCGAACGAGACCUUCGGGUCGAGUGGCGCACGGGGGCGUAACACGUGGGAAUCUGCCCUUUGCCUCGGAAUAACAGUUAGAAAUGACUGCUAAUACCGGAUGAUUUCGAAAGACCAAAGAUUUAUCGGCAAAGGAUGAGCCCGCGUAGGAUUGGGUAGGUGGUGGGGUAAAGGCAUACCAAGCCGACGAUCCUUAGCUGGUCUGAGAGGAUGCUCAGCCACACUGGGACUGAGACACGGCCCAGACGCGUACGGGAGGCAGCGGAGGGGAAUAUUGGACCAGGGGCGAGAGCCUGAUCCAGCAAGGCCGCGUGAGUGAUGAAGGCGUUAGAGUUGUAAAGCUCUAUUAGCAGGGAUGAUAAUGACAGUACCUGGAGAAGAAGCUCCGGCUAACUACGUG
rnacentral:rRNA from 1 species